rnacentral:rRNA from 1 species
GACGAACGCUGGCGGCGUGCUUAACACAUGCAAGUCGAGCGGUAAGGCCCUUUCGGGGGUACACGAGCGGCGAACGGGUGAGUAACACGUGGGUGACCUGCCCUCAGCUCUGGGAUAAGCCUGGGAAACCGGGUCUAAUACUGGAUAUGACUCCAUGACGCAUGUUGUGGGGUGGAAAGCCUUGUGCGGCUGAGGAUGGGCCCGCGGCCUAUCAGCUUGUUGGUGGGGUGANGGCCUACCAAGGCGACGACGGGUAGCCGGCCUGAGAGGGCGACCGGCCACACUGGGACUGAGACACGGCCCAGACUCCUACGGGGAGGCAGCAGGUGGGGAAUCUUGCGCAAUGGGCGAAAGCCUGACGCAGCGACGCCGCGUGAGGGAUGA